CCUACGGGUGGCAGCAGUGGGGACUAUUGGGCAAUGGCGGCAACUCUGACCCCGCAAUGCCGCGUGCGUGAUGAAGGUAAUUUUAUUGUAAAGCUCUUUUCUUUGGAACGAAUAAAUGACGGUACCACAGGAAUAAGCCCCGGCUAACUACGUGCCAGCAGCCGCGGUCAUACGUAGGGGGCAAGCGUUGUUCGGACUGACUGGGCGUAAAGGGUGUGUAGGUGGUUUUAUAAGUUAGAUGUGUAAUACCCAGGGCUUAACUCGGGUGCUGCAUCUAAAACUGUUAGACUUGAGUACUAGAGAGGAUAGUGGAAUGCGUGGUGUAGCGGUGGAAUGCGUAGAUAUUAGGAAGAACAUCAGUGGCGAAGGCGACAAUCUGGCCAGCAACUGACACUGAGGCACGAAAGCGUGGGGAGCAAACAGGAUUAGAUACCCGAGUAGUC
rnacentral:rRNA from 1 species